GAUGAACGCUGGCGGCGUGCCUAAUACAUGCAAGUCGAGCGAACAGACGAGGAGCUUGCUUCUUUGACGUUAGCGGCGGACGGGUGAGUAACACGUAGGUAACCUACCUAUAAGACUGGGAUAACUUCGGGAAACCGGAGCUAAUACCGGAUAAUAUUUCGAACCGCAUGGUUCGAUAGUGAAAGAUGGCUUUGCUAUCACUUAUAGAUGGACCUGCGCCGCAUUAGCUAGUUGGUAAGGUAACGGCUUACCAAGGCAACGAUACGUAGCCGACCUGAGAGGGUGAUCGGCCACACUGGAACUGAGACACGGUCCAGACUCCUACGGGAGGCAGCAGUAGGGAAUCUUCCGCAAUGGGCGAAAGCCUGACGGAGCAACGCCGCGUGAGUGAUGAAGGUCUUCGGAUCGUAAAACUCUGUUAUUAGGGAAGAACAAACGUGUAAGUAACUGUGCACGUCUUGACGGUACCUAAUCAGAAAGCCACGGCUAACUACGUG
rnacentral:rRNA from 1 species